rnacentral:tRNA from 1 species
AAGGGAGACCUAAUUCAGGUAUGGGACGAAAAAAAAGUAGUCGCUACCAAGAAUCAAUCCCAAAAGGUCGGAACGAGGUAUGAGGCUUUCAAACUAGGUUCUGGGUUCAUAAAAGACCUGAAUCAGGAACAAGGGCUAUUAGCUCAGGUGGUUAGAGCGCACCCCUGAUAAGGGUGAGGUCCCUGGUUCGAGUCCAGGAUGGCCCACCUGCACAGGUGGCAAAAACAAGAGAAGCUCCGAAUCAGCACCUUAUCUUAUAUACAUAUAUAAGAGAGAAUGCUGGCUCUGAGUACAGAGUCCAGAGGAACCUUGAAAACUGCAUAGAGCUAGGUGAAAAAGCCAAAAAAGAAGACCGCAA